AAUUGUAGGUGGUUCGUGUGUGGAUCUCGUCAGCAUAUCGUCGCAAAUAGGAAAUCCCCAACCAUAGUAGGCUUGGAGCUGUGAGGGAAUUCGGAGUGGCCACCCGUUCUGAAAGUUUGGUUUUCUUCUGGUGAACUGGACAUCCUAUUAUUUACGUUGAGGUUUGGGUUUUUAAAUGUAAUAAUGCCACUUAAUUAUUUUUGAUGGUUUUAAUAUGUAUUACUAAGAUAGGUAUUACUUA